rnacentral:misc_RNA from 1 species
CUGGUGGUGCACUCAAUUCAAGUGUAAGUUAUUAUUGACCACAUGAAUAAUCUGGUAUAGUUGACUAGUUCAAUGGCCAUUCAAAAUCAGACUAUGCAAAACAUUAAAAAUAUAGCUUGGUAGAUUGAUAAUGUUAAUUCCUCAGUCAUUUAUGCCUAGGAGUGAGUGAGUUAAUUUACUACUAUUUUCUGAAGAUAGCACAUUUACUGACUGGUCCGUCAACUCUGUUCCUGUGUCCAUCUGAAGUUUUACUUAUUUAAGCAUCUGUUCUGCAAUUUGAUUCCCUGCAAAGUUCUAAAUUCACCUUCUAGGUUUUCAAGUUGAUAGUUUCUUUUUCAGGGAAAAGG